rnacentral:rRNA from 1 species
AUACGUAGGGGGCGAGCGUUGUCCGGAAUGAUUGGGCGUAAAGGGCGCGUAGGCGGCCUGGUAAGUCUGAAGUGAAAGUCCCGCUUUCAAGGUGGGAAUUGCUUUGAAACUGCCGUUCUUGAGUACAGUUGAGGUAGGCGGAAUGUGGUGUGUAGCGGCGAAAUGCAUAGAUAUACCACAGAACGCCGAUUGCGAAGGCAGCUUACUAAGCUGUUACUGACGCUGAGGCACGAAAGCGUGGGGAUCAAACAGGAUUAGAUACCCUGGUAGUCCACGCUGUAAACGAUGAUUACUGGUUGUUAGCGAUAUAUAGCUAGUGACUGAGCGAAAGCAUUAAGUAAUCCACCUGGGGAGUACGUCGGCAACGAUGAAACUCAAAGGAAUUGGCGGGG